UUACGGUCACAUCACGUAGAAACACCGCACCCCGUGCGAUCAACGAAGUUAGGCAACGUCGAGCCUAGUCAGUAUUUAAAUGGGUGACCGCUUGGGAAUACCAUGUACCGUAAG